rnacentral:rRNA from 1 species
UGAAGGGUUUGAUCCUGGCUCAGAAUGAACGUUGGCGGCGUGGAUUAGGCAUGCAAGUCGCGCGAGAAGUCUUUUGCUUGCAUUAGACGGACAGCGGCGAAAGGGAGAGUAAUACGUGGAUUACCUACCCCAGGGUUCGGGAUAGCUGCGGGAAACUGCAGGUAAUACCGAAUAACAUCUCUGGAUCAAAGGUGCGAUUCCGCCUUGGGACGGAUCCACGUCCUAUUAGCUUGUUGGUGGGGUAACGGCCUACCAAGGCGACGAUGGGUACCGGGCGUGAGAGCGUGACCCGGCUCACUGGGACUGAGACACUGCCCAGACACCUACGGGUGGCUGCAGUCGAGAAUCUUCGGCAAUGGACGAAAGUCUGACCGAGCGACGCCGCGUGCGGGAUGAAGGCCUUCGGGUUGUAAACCGCUGUCAGUUGGGAGGAAAUCACAUGGGGUUCUCUCCAUGUGUUGACCUAUCUUCAGAGGAAGGACGGGCUAAGUUCGUGCCAGCAGCCGCGGUAAGACGAACCGUCCAAACG